rnacentral:rRNA from 1 species
UACAGGGGAUGCAAACGUUGCUCGGAAUUAUUGGGCGUAAAGCGCGCGUAGGCGGCCACUUAAGUCGGAUGUGAAAGCCCCUGGCUCAACUGGGGAAGUGCACCCGAAACUGAAUGGCUUGAAUGCAAAAGAGGGUCGCGGAAUUCCAGGUGUAGCGGUGAAAUGCGUAGAUAUCUGGAGGAACACCGGUGGCGAAGGCGGCCACCUAGCCCGCACCUGACGCUGAGGCGCGACAGCGUGGGGAGCGAACUGG